rnacentral:rRNA from 1 species
CAGCCGCCGCGGUAAUACCGAGGGUGCAAGCGUUAUCCGGAUUCACUGGGUUUAAAGGGUGCGUAGGCGGUUCAGUAAUUCCCUGGUGAAAUCCCCGAGCUUAACUUGCGAACUGCCGGGUAUACUAUUAGUCUUGAAUAUUGUGGAAGGAGACGGAAUUCCUCAUGUAAGCGGUGAAAUGCUUGAAUCUCACGAGGACCACCGAUUGCGAAGGCAGUCUGCUACUCUGGAACUGACGGUGAGGGAUGAAAGCUAGGGGAGCGAUCCGGAUUAGAUACCCUGGUAGUCCUAGCCCUAAACGCUGAAUGCUCGAUGUUACCCAUACUUUGUUAUUGUGUAAUGUAAAGCAUUAAGUAUUCCACCUGGCAACUGGGAUCGCCGGAUUGAAGGUUGAAGGAAAUGGGGGGUGAGCGGAG